GGGGGACAGCACCCUAUACAUCAUGGUUUAUAUUCAAAUUCCAAAGAACCGAUAUGGGACAAUUCAUUACAUGUGAGGAGGGGGGAGGGGGAGAAAUAAUAGAGAGGAGGGAGGGGGGAAGAAAACGUCUUGGAGAAAACCAAUGGAAGAACACGACGGCGACGGCGGCGUCAUAAAUACAUAUUUUCUUCACAGGGACCCGGACGAGCAGGAAAGACCCAAAAUACACAGAGAGGAGAGAGAAAGAAUGGCAAAUCGAGGGACACGGGGAUACUUGUACAGGCCUUGGGGCGAUCAUGCCGCUCCCUCGGUCGGCUUCGCCGGCUCUGGGGCCGCCGGCGGAGCGGCGGCGGUCUUCUCCUCGACGACCGGAGGAGCCUCAGGAGGCGCAGGGGUCUCGGUUUCUACCUUCUUCUCCUCUUCCGUAGACACCACCACCUCCUUAUCCUUGCUGGUGCCCUCCUCCGCCGGCGCUGCGGGCGCUUCUUCUGUGGUGGCGGCGACCUCUGGCUCCGCCGCCUUGGGCUCCUCCGCCGGGAGGAAGACGGCAGCCUUCUCGAACACGAAGAAGACGGGGCCGGUGACGAGGGCAGGCCCGAACUUGGUGGAAGCCUCACUGACAGCCUUGGCCCCGGGGAACUCUGCAGAUUACAACGUCCACCACCGGAAAACGUUAACAGGACGUUAACAGGAGACCCCUUCCAACCCAUCGCAAUUUCGAUUCUUACCUAUUUUAACCAGCUCCUCCAGGAACUUGUUGACGCCUGCCGCGUGCUUCUUCACCCCGGCCUCCGUAGGCUCCUUCACCAGAGUCUGCGGGGAGACGAAGGGAAACAUAUCUCAAUACUCAGGCAUACUACCACAGCUUUCGUUAAUUAAUCCGCCCAUGCUCCUGUUCCUCCAGAGAUUGAUCCAGAGUAGGUAGUAGAGACGCGUCUGUGGAAGAAAGAGGGAGAGAGGGAGAGCGAGAGAGAGAAGCGGCGAACCUUGAUCUCGGUCGAGGUGGUUCCAUAGAUCUCGAUCACCUUGGGCUCCAGCUCCGUCUUCUUCUCGUCAUACUCCUUGGUUAUCUCUUCCUGCACAGCAGAGGAAGUGAGUAGAAAUCACCAAAAAAUAGACACAAAGCACCACUUUUUCACACGAGAAGAUCCCCACCUUGGAGUCGUCGAAGGCCUUGGUGGCCUCGGCGGCGGCGGCCUUCUUGGAGCUGCCCUUAUCGAAGACCUUCUUGAUCUUCGGGAGCAACUUCGACUUCCAGUAACCCAUCUCUCCGUCCGUCCGACCCUCUGCACCAGAAAAAAUCCCUGGUUCAGCCAAAAUCCCAACCCGACUACGCCCUUCUGUCGACAACGCAGAGCAAAAGGGGAAGAGAUAGAGAGAGAGGGCACGUACGAGGCAGGAAGACAAGGAUGCGGGCACGGGGGCUCGUGCUCUCUUCUAGUUCUCUCUCCUCUCCUCC
rnacentral:lncRNA from 1 species